GAUGAACGCUAGCGGGAGGCCUAACACGUGCAAGCCGAGCGGUAGAGUCUCUUCGGAGACUUGAGAGCGGCGCACGGGUGCGGAACACGUGUGCAACCUGCCUUUAUCUGGGGGAUAGCCUUUCGAAAGGAAGAUUAAUACCCCAUAAUAUACUGGAUGGCAUCAUCUGGUAUUGAAAACUCCGGUGGAUAGAGAUGGGCACGCGCAAGAUUAGAUAGUUGGUGAGGUAACGGCUCACCAAGUCAGCGAUCUUUAGGGGGCCUGAGAGGGUGAUCCCCCACACUGGUACUGGGACACGGACCAGACUCCUACGGGAGGCAGCAGUGAGGAAUAUUGGACAAUGGGUGAGAGCCUGAUCCAGCCAUCCCGCGUGAAGGACGACGGCCCUAUGGGUUGUAAACUUCUUUUGUAUAGGGAUAAACCUAGAUACGUGUAUCUAGCUGAAGGUACUAUACGAAUAAGCACCGGCUAACUCCGUG
rnacentral:rRNA from 1 species